UUGCUAGAGCAGGUGUUAUGCUGUUUGUCCUGCUGAUUGCUUACCAAAGGAGAACGGUGUCAGGAAAGCAACUAGUUA
rfam:Mastigocoleus testarum BC008 Contig-20, whole genome shotgun sequence.